CGCACACGCCCUGCCCUGCCGUGCCCCACGCUUCCUUUUCGUUUCUCGCGGAGUUGCACUUGACUCGUCUUUAUUUUUCGUUUUGCGGCGCUCUCAUUCGCGUGUAUCAUCUGUGCUCUUGCACGGAGGUGCUGCGCACGCGCGCGUGACUGUCUGUCGCGGUGAUUCUUCGUUUUUUUUUUCUUUGUGGGCCCCUCUCUCUCUCUCUCCCUGCGUGUGCGCCCCUGUUGGCUCGCUCUUUUCUGUGCUUGAUACUUUUCGCUGCGCGGCGAGGGCGGGGGCCCAUCGCGGACGCGUCAGACCGUCCCACAGGGCGGCAUCGUGGCACACACACGCACAGGAGCAAACGUUUUGCCAUAGACAAACCCAAGCACGCAACAACAACAGCAAAGCGCAUAGACCCUCCAGCGCGCAAACACGCGCUCAUUCUGGAGUGGAUCUGGCUGCACCGGCACAUCCAGUCCCACCGAAGCUUCGUUUCGCCCCAUCCACAGCACCGCGCCAUACGUACACUCAUCUCCUCAUAAGCGGGAGAGAAAGCCGAGGGAGGGGGGGGGUGGAGGGGACAGUGAGGCUGCUUCAACUGGACCGCUGCCCCACUUGUUCUUCUCCCUCAGCGACUAAGGUGCUACGCGCCGCACACACACACACACACACACACAAACAGACACGCGCCGCCAUCUCCUUGCUUUCCGCUACUCUCUCCCCUCCCAUUAAAUAAAAAGGAUUGCAUGUCUCUCAAGCCGGCUGGACUGUAAUCUAUUACCGAGUGCGCUCAUCUUCUGCCUUGUGCUUCGGCUGCGCAACCUUCGUGUGUCUGCGUAUCCAUCGCACUCCCCACUCCCCCCCCCCCCCCCGCCCAUCCCACAGAGGUGCCACCGCCCUUUUUUUUUGUUCGACUCGCUCUCUCUACCUAUCCUUCUCCUGUUUCGCUUGCUCAUGUCUGUGGUGCCCAUUUCCUUCGCUCCUGUCUGUGCCGUUCGUAUGCCCUUGUCAUCUUCGUUAGACUAGAUUUGCUUUGCCUGCCGUUUUCUAUUUUUUGUUGUCUCACCCCCCCCCCUCCCCCGUCGGCGUGAGUGUGUCGGAUCACGCCUCGCUUUGAGUAUUUCUUGUCGACGUUGUGGAUCGUGCGAGAGGAAGACGGUGAAUCAGAUGCCGUCCACGUAUGCCCAUGAGCCAGAUAUGCGCUCGCUGCUGACCAUCACGCGGUGCGUUUCCGCCAUGCAGCACUCGGAGGUAAAGUCGUGCGCGGCCCUCUUUUCGGACGCACAUGACAACCUCAUGCGUGAUUCAUGCACUUCUCACGCGAGGGUACGUAGGGAGGGGGAACCGACUGGGUAUGUAAGCGGCACACUCGAGCCGCCGCGGGGCAAGCAGCCAUCGUCGACGAUGCGCCGCAACGGCUGGCCCAAAGCAGCACGGCGGGCUCUUGUUUUCGAGGACUCUCCACCACCACCGCCAUCCUUCUCGAAGCACGCAGUGCACCGAGAGUGCAGUGCAUUCUUCACUUCAAUGAGACUCGCAGAAGAAGACAUACGAGUGGAGGAGUACGUGCGGGCAGGAACAGCGACCGGAAUGCGUCAGGCAUGAGGCAGGGGGAGGCCCAUGAUACGCAGUCCGCUGAGUCUCGUGCGUACUGGAGCUUCGGCUUCUUGCAGCAAGAGAGGGACUUAAUCAGGAGUGGCACUGACGCCAGGGGUCCCCACUUUUUGUCGUUCGACGCCCCUGACGUUUCACGCGCUGCUUCCCUUGUGUCUCCCAGCGGCGCGGCUGCACGAACGGUUUUGCCGUUAUCGACGUCUCUUUCUCAUCUGCAGCGCCAGCCAUCAUCACCGCCAUCAUUGGGGCCACAGUCGGGGGCAGCUGUCGCUACACCGGCACUGAGUGCACACCCCCUCCGACUGAACAUUAGCGCUGAUAUUUGUAGCAAGAACUCUCGCGCAAGCAACAGUCGUCACUUUACCUUGUCCUCGCUCAGCGUCUCGAAGGUGAAUGAUACGUCGCAUAUCGAACGAGCCGAUUCUGCAUCCUCCGUCGAAGGACUGUGCAAUGCUGGCGGUUUCGACCUUGCGCAGACGAGCUCCAGGAGGCAUAGCUCACAUCAAGCGCUGCAGCGACAGCCGGACUGCCGCGACAAGCAUGCGAGCUCCCGGCCGACUCGAUGGAUGACGUCGGAGGAGGGAGAAGCAUCUCUUGCAUCGCCGGUACAGAAGCCGGCGUACAACGGUAGCGCCGCCCCGUCCGUCGCCGCCUCCCUCUCUCGGCCGUUGGCCACUGCGGCUGUGGCGCGCAACGACAGAAGCGUGACGUCCAGCGACACGGAAGCCCUGUGGCCAUCCGCGCGGACUGCCGGUGCAUAUUCGCCUCCUCAGAGCUCGAACGCCUCGGUCGCAUCUUUUUAUUCCCACUUCUUUUCCUCUGCUGAGCGCGGCGGCCGUCGCAGCACCAGUCGCAGUACGAGCAUGCGUCGUGAAGGCCGCGUGCACGAAGCGGAGGCGACCGCAACGGGCAGCGGUGGCACUACAGCUCUCUCACAUGCUGCUCCGCGGUAGCUGUAGCUGGAGCAGCAGGCAGGGCUGCUCUCGAUGCGAGGGGGCACCCAGUCGUCAGACGAGGCGAUGACGUUAACGCAGGCGCGGUGUGGACGACCUCGGAUCGCCCGCAGCGCGCCACACGCGCCGUUUCGGAGAAGUCGCCGUCGGCAGAUCGCGCGCCCUCCCGAGCGGCCGCGUCUUCUUCACUGGAUCUUGAGCGGCACACCCUGCCGGUGGAGUCGUCGCCUCUGCUAAGCACCGCUGUGCUCGCCGUCACAGCGAGCAAGGCCUCACCGGCACCGUUUAGUAGCCGGACACUGCGCUUCUCUCCACCCUCCGCCGCAGCGGCUGUUGUUGCCGGUGAGGCUCGUGUGAUGGGGGCUUCGUCCUCGCAGAGCUCGACACACAAGAGCGAGAGCGCCAACGUGCAUUGCCGGGAUGUGUCCCAUACGUCGGCUUCAUCGUCUCGUGCGUCCGGGUUGGCCUCUGCCUCUAUCGCCAUGGCGGCUAAGGCUGACGCGUGUCUCGCUGAAGCGCCGCCGACUCCGCCCGAUGGGCUGUCGAGGCCGGAAGCAGCGAAAACCGGUGCGGCACGUAGACAAUAUCCUCCACCGCCGCCCCUGCCUUCGCCGCUCCUUGAGUCUUCGCCAGGCGCUGAUAUGUGGCGCGCGGGUGCUCUAGUGCAGCAGUCCUUAGCGCGACACGGCAGUUCGGGGCAGAGCCGGUCUCAGAGAGGGUCGGAGAAACUCCGCUAGAGCCACCGGCGUGCGCAGAGAGCCCUUCUUACUCCCUUCCAAGGCGCCGACGGUCUCCACUCGAAGGCGCCGCAAAUAUGCCUGAUGUGGCGGGGAGAGAUGCCCAACCUUCCGUGCCCGCUGUGGCAGGCACUCGUGAUAUCACCGGACCGGUGCAAUCGAUAGCAGAUGGGGGGCAGAGGAAGGCACUGAGGGCCCAGCUGCCCGACUGGGGCCAGGAGAGAAAAUCGUCCAUGGCUUUCGGGGGCGACGGCACGCGGCUCCACAGUCGAAGGCCAUCGACGCGACAGAAGAGCCGCCGACUGCGGUGAGUGGAAUGGAGGACAACGUGCCAAGAGAAGCGAACACGUGCAUCGCUGGCGACACAUCGGGUCGCCUCUCAAGAGAGGUCAGUGAGGAGUGGCGGAAUCAGCAGCAGCAGCAGCAGAAACAGCAAAAGUGGCGUCACUAUGUGAUGUGCGUGCCUCCCGUGAGGGCUCCCGGCACAUCUCCACUGAGUCGGCGCAGCGCAGUGGCUGCGGCUACUCAUCACCGGCAAACGGGCAUGCCGCUGUCUACGUCACUGGGCGUCUCCUCCGCGACAACUCCUCCCCCGCUCGCGCAACGUGGCAAUCGCAGUCCAUUUUUGGGUGGUGGCGGCGGCGGUAACGCCUCUGCACGCUCACCCGCGAUCGAUGCCAGGAGGGGGGUGCAGGAAGCAACCGACAGGACCGGUAGUGGCUGCGCUCAUUGUUCACCAGCGGCUUCAAAACUGGAAGCGGAGGAGGUGGGCCACGGAGAAGCAACGGCAGCCGCUGCUGAGGCGCCGGAGCAUUCGCGGCCAUCGCCCCUAGUGCUGAGCCAUGCAGCUGUUACCUCGAUGGGGAGAAGCGAAGAAGGCAGGGGCUCGUAUCGCAGCCGCAGCGGCAGCGGUGUCCGAGCAAGUGACGCGGGCGGUGAGGGCUUUGACAACGAGAGCCGCACCAACGGCACAACGGCGCGCCAGCCAAGGCGCUAUCACGGUGGCAGCGAGCCCACAACCCGACACAGAGUCACCGCUGGCCCCGCCACGUGCCACACUCCGUUCGACUCACUUCACAGCGCCGGCGUGGACUUCGACUGGGUCGCGAACGACCACGCAUCUCAGCAGCGACUGCAGCGCUACACUGGCGACGAGGGACCACUUGCCGUGCCUUCAUCCAUCUACACGGCUGUGACCGGGCCACCGUCUGCGCUGGCAGCGUUGGCAGUGUGCGAGGGCCCUGUCAGGCGGGGACGCGUGAUGACCUCGCAAACUCCCGCGGCGCCGCUGCCCACCUGCGGUGCCGUGGGAGCUGAGGACUUGGACCAGAGUGACCCCACGCUCUCGGUGCGGCGCGCAGACAGCUCCACGAGCCGCUUCGAGGUGUUACUGUGCACGUCAUCCAACUCGCAAACACGAUACCAAACCCCGCCACACUCACCUUACACCCCGGAGCUUGGCUCAUCGCUCACGAACAGAGCCGGCAUCCCUUGCAUGGACUCGUUCGCUUCCCUGGAGCACACCCCGCUGACGCGCUCCGUGACUAGCGCAUCCGCGAUGGAGGGCUCAGCGACAGAGUGCGACGCCCCUGUCAUGUCAACCUUCUUUGCAGAUGACCACGUAGCUGACGCAAUCCCGGCGGCAGCGGCUGCGCGGCAAGUGACAGGGGGGCGAGACAAAGACAUAGCUGACGACGUGCCUGCCACGCAAGGCCUUGUGCUGGGGGUGGAUGAGAAGGCUAAGGUACAUGCCCUGCCUCAUUACGUUGAGAGCGACAGCGGCCCCGUGCCGCGUUCUUCAGUGGAAUGGCCGUCGUCACUUGGCUCGCGAAACCCCGACCAGCCGUCUCGCAUCACUCAACCAGCAGCGCGCACUUCCGGUGACGUCGGCGCGGAGGCUGCCCACCCCACCCCACCGACCUCUUCAGGGACGAGAAAUGUGGUGGCCGCUUGCGCACAUCGUACCCCCCUGGACAGUCGCCUCCACAGCAAUUCGGUGUUCAGAGCAGGGCCUACGCACACCUGCCAUGUAGCGAGCGCAUCGGCGAGUCGAGGCGCUAGGGAGGCGUACACAGGCCCAUCGACCGAUCUCGGCACCAGCGAGGAGCCGGGCAACAGCGAUGAUGAUGGGCUGGAAGAUAGCCUCGACGAUGCACCGACGCUGUGGGAUCGCCAUGCACCCUACCCCGCCCCCGCCCUUUCCAUCGACGGCGGCGACGUGUACUCGAGCGUGUCCUCCGCGUCAACGCCGCCGCCGCCUCCGCCGGGGCCGCUGCGCGAGCCACGGCAGCAGGUGCACCGACAGCGAGAGACUUCCCUGCUGUCCUCCUCCUCGGCACCCGUGAACGAUGCGGAGGACAAGGUGACGGCGCUGAUGUCGACGGCUAUCGCUCACGGAACAGGAGGCUGCCGAGCGGAAGCGGGGGAAGGCACCCGCCGCCGCGUGGCGCCAGAGUUGUCUUCCUCGAUAGUUUCGAUCAACGCGGCCUCGUCGGCGACGACCUCAUCGCGGCCCCGACGUGGGCGCCACGCGGGCGAAAGACAAGAGGAAGAGCACGAGUCCGAUGACGUGCCGGCGGCUUACACUCAGCGCUUGCAACAGUGGCAGCAGGCCCAGAAUAAUGAUGUGCAGCCGCAGGCAUUGUAUAGGGCGCUUCGCAGCGACUUCUUUGCUAGUAGGUCCUGCCCUCGCUGGGGCAGCGAAAGCACGCAGCCCUACGACGCGGAGGGGUGUCACAGCAGAGGCGACAUGCUGGAUGGGCUCGAGCGUGAACCAAACACGAUAAUGAACGGCGGUGGUGGUGGUGGCGAAGACCAUGGAGACUUCGCCGCGUCGGCCCCGUCCUCGCUGCCGUCGCGCGAGGGCUCCAUGCAGGCCAACGCCCUGAUUGGGUCCGCCGCGGCCGAGUUACGUGAAAGUCGACCUUCUAUCGCUUCGUCCUCAUCGACUGGCGCGACGGCGUCGGCGACGGCGGUGUCAACGGCAACGACGGCCAAGACGCCAGAGUGUCGCGCACCAGCGUCAUGGCAGCGCAUGCGCCUAUCCUUUGCAGUGGUGCCUUCGAAGCCGCCGAUAGACUCUGGAGCGAAUCGACCUCUGGGUACCGAUGGACUGCACCGCAGCUCUGCCUUCCCCUUCAGUGAUGGCAACUCCGCCGUAGUGUCGCAGGCGGCCGGGAUCUACCCGGGACGACAGCGGGCGAUGGCAGCGGCGGAAGCAGACAGCUUUGGCGCCGACGCGGAUGAGGAUGAGGAUGAGGAUGGGGGGUACUGCAGUUACGGAUGCGAAAGCGACCUAAUCUACGUGUGAGGACCUCGUCACCGCCGCCGUCUACGCCGCUAGUAAAGGGUGUUGCGCUCCCCAGUGAGAACGUGGCGGUGAUGUUGCAUGCACCGUGUGCUCGCACAGUUUGCGUGCGUUUGUGAUCGCUGCGAGCGAAAGCGUCCCCUGUUGCCCUCCUGUUUCCUUAUAAAAGUGUAUUCUCUAUGUGUUCUGGACAUUCUCGAGCGCCGCACCUUGAGCGCAUGUCUUUCUGGCUCUCGCGCUCCACAUUAUUU
rnacentral:misc_RNA from 1 species